CUCCAUGAAAACCCAGGAAAGAUGAGACUUCCUAAUUAGACAUUCAGAUGCGCAAUCCAAGCACAGCGAAAGAAAGUUGAAAAGUAUCAUAAAAAAUAGUCUGUAUGUCAAGAUAAACUAAUGCUGGAGAAAUAGACAAAGUUAAUAUUCAGAUUUGGAAGACAGUUUCUGGUAAAACGGAAGGAACGCAGAUAUGAAGGGUGAUGUAUUGGAGAAUGUGCCACCAUUUCUAAAACCCACUUAUUUAUAAACCAGUUGGAAAGUAGAAUCCAGAGUAAACGAAAAGUCAGUUAUUGUAAAAUUUUAAUAUCUUAUUAAAAGAACGAAACAUUC